GAUGAACGCUGGCGGCGUGCUUAACACAUGCAAGUCGAACGGAAAGGCCAGUGCUUGCACUGGUACUCGAGUGGCGAACGGGUGAGUAACACGUGGGUGAUCUGCCCUGUACUUCGGGAUAAGCUUGGGAAACUGGGUCUAAUACCGGCUAGGACAACUUUUUGUAUAUUGUUGUGGAAAGCUUUUGCGUUAUGGGAUGAGCUCGCGGCCUAUCAGCUUGUUGGUGGGGUAUUGGCCUACCAAGGCGUCGACGGGUAGCCGGCCUGGGAGGGUGUACGGCCACAUUGGGCCUGGGAUACGGGCCAGACCCCUACGGGAGGCAGCAGGGGGGAAUAUUGCACAAUGGGCGCAAGCCUGAUGCAGCGACGCCGCGUGGGGGAUGAAGGCCUUCGGGUUGUAAACUCCUUUCGCUAGGGACGAAGCUUUUUUGUGACGGUACCUGGAGAAGAAGCACCGGCUAACUACGUG
rnacentral:rRNA from 1 species